rnacentral:rRNA from 1 species
GAUGAACGCUGGCGGCGUGCCUAAUACAUGCAAGUCGAGCGAACGGACGAGAAGCUUGCUUCUCUGAUGUUAGCGGCGGACGGGUGAGUAACACGUGGAUAACCUACCUAUAAGACUGGGAUAACUUCGGGAAACCGGAGCUAAUACCGGAUAAUAUUUUGAACCGCAUGGUUCAAAAGUGAAAGACGGUCUUGCUGUCACUUAUAGAUGGAUCCGCGCUGCAUUAGCUAGUUGGUAAGGUAACGGCUUACCAAGGCAACGAUGCAUAGCCGACCUGAGAGGGUGGUCGGCCACACUGGAACUGAGACACGGUCCCGACUCCUACGGGAGGCAGCAGUAGGGAAUCUUCCGCAAUGGGCGAAAGCCUGACGGAGCAACGCCGCGUGAGUGAUGAAGGUCUUCGGAUCGUAAAACUCUGUUAUUAGGGAAGAACAUAUGUGUAAGUAACUGUGCACAUCUUGACGGUACCUAAUCAGAAAGCCACGGCUAACUACGUG